rnacentral:tRNA from 1 species
GCGGAAUUAGUUAAGUGGUAUAACAUCAGCUUCCCAAGCUGAGAUCGCGAGUUCGAUUCUCGCAUUCCGCA